AUUGAACGCUGGCGGAAUGCUUUACACAUGCAAGUCGAACGGCAGCACGGACUUCGGUCUGGUGGCGAGUGGCGAACGGGUGAGUAAUGUAUCGGAACGUGCCCAGUCGUGGGGGAUAACGUAGUGAAAAUUACGCUAAUACCGCAUACGAUCUAUGGAUGAAAGCGGGGGAUCGCAAGACCUCGCGCGAUUGGAGCGGCCGAUAUCAGAUUAGGUAGUUGGUGGGGUAAAGGCCCACCAAGCCAACGAUCUGGAGCUGGUCUGAGAGGACGACCAGCCAGACGGGAACUGAGAAACGGACCAGACUCCUACGGGAGGCAGCAGUGGGGAAUUUUGGACAAUGGGCGAAAGCCUGAUCCAGCCAUUCCGCGUGCAGGAUGGAGGCCCUCGGGUUGUAAACUGCUUUUGUACAGAACGAAAAGGUUUCUACUAAUACUAGGAGCUCAUGACGGUACUGUAAGAAUAAGCACCGGCUAACUACGUGCCAGCCGCCGCAGUAA
rnacentral:rRNA from 1 species